AAAGAAGUAAAAAAAAAAUCAAACCCCAAUACAAAAUGUGAGGGUAAAGGUUAAGGAUCACAUUUCUUUGCGUCAAAAAGGAGCAAUGGUUUCACCCGACGAGAAGAAAACUUUUAAAAUCGCCAAAGUAUUAAUGAAAGCUCCGUUCACAGCUUGGAAAUAACGACCGGUAAACUUGGUUAAGCUUUAAGAUCGAUCAAAACAAAACAAAAGUCAUCGGCCAGUGAGUAUAUGUCUUGAACGACUUGAGAAAAAAAAAAAGGACAAUAAUUAAUCUCACAUUGCAGUUCAAACUGUCCUUGCGCAAUGGAACACCCGAAACAAAUACCGUGUGUGUGUGUGUGUGUGUGUGUGUGUGUGUGUGUGUGUGUGUGUGUGUGUGUGUGUGUGUGUGUGUGUGUGUGUGUGUGUGUGUGUGUGUGUGUGUGUGUGUGUGUGUGUGUGUGUGUGUGUGUGUGUGUGUGUGUGUGUGUGUGUGUGUGUGUGUGUGUGUGUGUGUGUGUGUGUGUGUGUGUGUGUGUGUGUGUGUGUGUGUGUGUGUGUGUGUGUGUGUGUGGGGGUGUGUGUGUGUGUGUGUGUGUGGCGGGGGGAGGGUACUGUGUGUCGAUGUAUGUGAUGCCGUGUGAUAUGAUAUGAUUCACAGUGAUGGCGUGUGGUAAGUUUCCUUUCCAGGUAAUAUUGUGUAAUAUGUUUCCUUUCCAGGUAAUGUUGUGUGAUAUGUUUCCUUUUCAGGUAAUGUUGUGUGAUAUGUUUCCUUUUCAGGUAAUGUUGUGUGAAAUGUUUCCUUAACAGGUAAUGUUGUGUGAUAUGUUUCCUUUUCAGGUAAUGUUGUGUGAUAUAUUUCCUUUCCAGGUAAUGUUGUGUGAUAUGUUUCCUUUCCAGGUAAUGUUGUGUGAUAUGUUUCCUUUUCAGGUAAUGUUGUGUGAUAUGUUUCCUUCCCAGGUAAUGUUGUGUGAUAUGUUUACUUUUCAGGUAAUGUUUUGUGAUAUGUUUCCUUCCCAGGUAAUGUUGUGUGAUAUAUUUCCUUUCCAGGUAAUGUUGUGUGAUAUGUUUCCUUUCCAGGUAAUGUUGUGUGAUAUGUUUCCUUACCAGGUAAUGUUGUGUGAUAUAUUUCCUUUCCAGGUAAUGUUGUGUGAUAUGUUUCCUUCCCUGGUAAUGUUGUGUGAUAUGUUUACUUUUCAGGUAAUGUUUUGUGAUAUGUUUCCUUCCCAGGUAAUGUUGUGUGACAAUUAUGUUUCCUUUCCAGGUAAUGUUGUGUCAUAUAUUUCCUUUCCAGGUAAUGUUGUGUGAUAUGAUUCCUUUCCAGGUAAUGUUGUGUGAUAUGUUUCCUUUCCAGGUAAUGUUGUGUGAUAUGAUUCCUUUCCAGGUAAUGUUGUGUGAUAUGUUUCCUUUCCAGGUAAUGUUGUGUAAUAUGUUUCCUUUCCAGGUAAUGUUGUGUGAUAUGUUUCCUUUCCAGGUAAUGUUGUGUGAUAUGUUUCCUUUCCAGGUAAUGUUGUGUGAUAUAUUUCCUUUCCAGGUAAUGUUGUG